UACGUAGGUGGCAAGCGUUGUCCGGAUUUAUUGGGCGUAAAGAGCGCGCAGGCGGUCGUUCAAGUCGCGUGUGAAAGCCCCCGGCUCAACUGGGGAGGGUCACGCGAUACUGAUCGACUCGAAGGCAGGAGAGGGAAGUGGAAUUCCCGGUGUAGUGGUGAAAUGCGUAGAUAUCGGGAGGAACACCAGUGGCGAAGGCGACUUCCUGGCCUGUUCUUGACGCUGAGGCGCGAAAGCUAGGGGAGCAAACGGG
rnacentral:rRNA from 1 species